AAAAAAAAAAGGAGCCCACAGGGCUACAAUUAACAAGCCAGAUUAAUACAAGUUGCAGGAUAGAUCUGUGUAGUUUUCUCAUCAAUAAACUGUUCAUAAUAUCAGUUAUAAUAUCAGUUCCUACACGAAUACAGUGCAAGAAAACUGUUCUGAUUUACAAACUGAUAUAGUUUCUAAGUGAAAUAACUAAACAGAAUUAAUCUCAAAACAACCUGCACUAGAAAAUAAUACCACCUUGAAAAGUUAUAAUUUUAUUUGUGUUCCAAAAGAAUUUUAUAAUCGACUCAUUUUACAUUCCACUACACAAAUAUUGGCUGUUAAUGUAACAAACCCCUUUGGAUAAUUUUUUAACAUCGAAUAAACCCAAAUCAGAGGAUUCGAUCUUGAAGAUCAGUU
rnacentral:misc_RNA from 1 species